AUUGUCUUUGAAGGUGCCAUCGUGCACUCUACCAACUUGAAAUGUGCCAGAUCUUGGAAAUUGGAUGUUGUGGGUCUCCUGCUAUGCCGUCCACAUGCACUUAUAGUUUUCUUUGCUCUAUUUAGACUUUGGUUACAUUUGGAUUGGGUAAUGGCAGAUAUGGCCCUGUCAUCCGUCAUUCCUAGUAAGGUUCAGGGUCUAAUUAGCAGUAUGUGAGAAAAAACACUUGAGAGGUUUGAUUUAAGUUAUGUUUGUGAAUACCGGAGCUAGGAGUUUCUAAUAUAACAUCUCCUGAGCACAUAUCUUGAUUUAAGAUGAAUUUUCUCCUUUGAUUUUCCUCAGGAGUGCUGUAUAUGUCUCACCUCGUAUGAGGACGGAGCAGAGCUCCAUGCUCUCCCCUGCAACCACCAUUUCCAUUCGACAUGUAUCGUGAAAUGGCUCAAGAUGAAUGCAACCUGUCC
rnacentral:lncRNA from 1 species